rnacentral:lncRNA from 1 species
UUGGAGCAGGUGAUCCUUGGACGCCCACAGUACAUCACCUUCAUGAGCGCAUCAGUGAACACCAGUCUAAGGAAGACAUCUCUGAACGUAAUUUUGGAGAUUUUGAUGAGUUCCAUUGAAACAAGGAGGAAUGUGAUGUCCAGUAUCAGUUCUGCAGACCCAAGGACAAAGAAAAUUCUGUGAUAAACUCAUCCAGUGUGACUGUAAUGUGGGUAUCUAUUUGAUACCUCCAAGUAACUGUUUAUUCUUGUGCCAGUUGAGUAGAUGGUACGGGCCAGUUGGUGUUGAUUAGUGAACCACGGACAAAGGGCAUAUGUCACAUGAGUUGCUCCUGGAUAAAGUCACCCAGUCACUUCCUGAUGAAUAUCCUGCAUAAACUCCAAAGACAAAAGAGAGUUAAGGUUGUUUUUCUCACCUUAGACCAGGCAGUGAUAGAAGAACUGGGGGAAGAGAUAAUUGUAUUUAUCUUGGUGAGGGUGACAAAUCAUGGCAAAUGAGCAAAAUGAAAAAGGAUACAAGACACCGGACUUUCAAAUCAACAAUUGUUUCAAAAGACUCCUACUGGAUUCCUGCUAGUGAUGGGAGAAAAUUAUCAUUCUGCUAGUUAAUCUGUAGCCAGAGAUGAUUAAGGAGGUCAUUAAAGGAAAACAAGCUGCCCACCAUGCUGAUGCCUGGUUGUUCAGAUCGUUGAGGUGGUGUAGAGAUGACGCACACUGGCUCAGUUUACCCACAUUUGGAUCUACGGACCUGCAAGUCCUCUGUCAUGACACACCAGCCCUGGGAUAUCACAUAAGCUACAGGUCAGACGCUGCUUUCCAGACAGAAUUAUGGAGAAGACAACCAUCAUUUUGGAGCUAUAGAUAGUGGAUUUCAAGAGAGUACCAAGGUUGCUACUCCAUAAUGGCCAGAAGAGCAAGCCAAAAACAUCAGAGUAAACACAGAAACCUCACAUCUCAGGGAGGUUUGCUUAACAAACAUAUCAAGACCUGGGAUACCUGGAAAACUGCAGGCCCUGCUGGAAAUUUUCCAUGCUCUUCAUUCGUUCUCCUGUAUUUCCUAACGCCAAUAAAAGAGGAGAUCCCUGAGGACACGCCUCUCUUUAAUAUCUGCUUUCCUUGCAAAGAUAAGCCAAAGACCAAUGUAUGUCGUAUCUGCCCCCUUCAGCCUUUGGGACACAAUUUUGAUAAACCUUCCUCUAUUUCACAUUAACAGAAAAUGUCACUUCUCCCUUCCUAAUCUCCAAUGCAAACCUAACAUUUUAGCCCAACGUUUCUCAUGCUUGCACAAGCCAGCUUUUAAAUUCUGCUCAAUUCCAAUUUAAGAGUAGGCAUUGUGCUAGACAUUUAUAGCCCAAGAUCUGUAAGCAAAUAUAAUUCUGUGGACUAAGAAAGCUAACAUUUAAAGAACGGAAAGAGUUUUUUAUUUAAAAAAAAAACGCGAAUCACUAUCACUGCCUUUAUUAAUUCUCUAAGUACAAGCUGUUGUAAAUCUUCUCAGUGUUAGAUCCCACUGGAGAGUGAUUCAUCAUAUUGCACAUAAGCUCACUCCAGGCUGAAAUCAUAUCUAUAACGCAAGGGUGAUUAUGGUUGAACACUGGGCACCAAGAGGCUCUCUAGGAGUGCAGAAUGGAAUAUGGAAAAAGCACAUCCAAAGCACUGAGGGCUUUCUGAAUUGAUGGAUUUUUAAAAAAAUAAUUAAAACUAAGAUGGAGACUGGUGACCUAGAGUCUGAGUCAUGUAUUUGUGAAAACAUUUUAAGAUCUCCAGAUCACUUCCCAGCACAUCUCCUGCUGCUAUUGUUAUUAGAAGUAUCUCUUCUUAUUAAUCUUAAGGGAGGGCUACAGUCUCCAGGGAUACUUAGACCUGAUUAUCAGCGUUUCUAUUACAAAACUCUACCUUUAAAAAAAAAAGUGCUGUAGAUAUUAAAAAUGCUUUCUAACUAGGCAUUGGUUUCAGUCUAUUGAAUUAAAACUCAGACUCCA